CUGUGUCACCCAAACAGUGUUUCUAUAAAAUUUUGAUUGUUGCUCAGAAAGCCGUGCAUUUGAAACGGGUCGCUUUCGAGCAGUAAUCAAAGUCAAAUAAAACACCAACUCAACGAGGUGUCAC
rnacentral:tRNA from 11 species